GACGAACGCUGGCGGCGUGCCUAAUACAUGCAAGUCGAACGAACCGCGACUAAGUGCUUGCACUAAGUCAAGGUGAGUGGCGAACGGGUGAGUAACACGUGGGUAACCUACCUCAUAGUGGGGGAUAACAGUCGGAAACGACUGCUAAUACCGCAUAGGACAUAGGAUCACAUGAUCCAGUGAGGAAAGGUGGCGCAAGCUAUCGCUAAGAGAUGGACCCGCGGUGCAUUAGCUAGUUGGUAGGGUAAAGGCCUACCAAGGCGAUGAUGCAUAGCCGACCUGAGAGGGUGAUCGGCCACAUUGGGACUGAGACACGGCCCAAACGCCUACGGGAGGCAGCAGUAGGGAAUCUUCCGCAAUGGACGCAAGUCUUACGGAGCAACGCCGCGUGAGUGAAGAAGGUCUUCGGAUCGUAAAGCUCUGUUGUUAGAGAAGAACAGCGCAUAGAGUAACUGCUAUGCGUGUGACGGUAUCUAACCAGAAAGCCACGGCUAACUACGUG
rnacentral:rRNA from 1 species